GGGCCGUAUAGGUCAUACAUAGGUCUAAUUAACAAAUCACAGAAAGGAGAGGAGGAAGCUGAGCAACACUCCUUUUUCUAUUUGGAACCUGCACCAUUUAUUGGGUAUGUAGGAAAUUAUUCUUUGCCUCUAUUGGUUGUACCUUAUUCUUUUUUUUUUUUAGCAUCAGUAUAGACAUAAGCGCUCAUAUACAUGCGCAUACACUCAUCCCUAUGAACGCACACACGCACACCCUACCCCUAUGAGCACCUCCGAGAGACUGAGCCGGCAUAUCAUCUUGAGAUUUACGAAGUCACUGUAGGCGCCUCGUCGUCGACGGGAACGUCUCCUCCCACUGAAAGCGCAUCGCCGGAAAUCCUGAAAUAAAUCCAGGAAUAAUGCGAACACCAGGAUUUGAACCUUGGUGGGUUGGGGAUACCACUGUCCACCUAACCAACUCAACCACAGGUUGUACCUUAUUCUGUAUUGUACUGCCAGUACCAUGGCAUACCAAUUGUUUGGAUAGAUCAAAAGGCAAGCUAAAGAUCAAUUAGAUAAAUGCUAUUGUACUCCCACAUCUCACAUCUCAUUUAGCUUUAUACAUACCUUGUAUCAGCAUUUCUUGAAAACACAUUUAUGCAGUCACAC
rnacentral:lncRNA from 1 species